UACGUGAGGGGCAAGCGUUGUCCGGAUUUAUUGGGCGUAAAGAGCGUGUAGGCGGCUAGGUAGGUCCGUUGUGAAAACUCGAGGCUCAACCUCGAGAUGUCGGCGGAAACCAUUUGGCUAGAGUCCGGAAGAGGAAAGUGGAAUUCCUGGUGUAGCGGUGAAAUGCGCAGAUAUCAGGAAGAACACCCGUGGCGAAGGCGGCUUUCUGGGACGGUACUGACGCUGGAGACGCGAAAGCGUGGGGAGCGAACAGG
rnacentral:rRNA from 1 species